UCAGUUUUACGUUGGCUUCCGGUCUAGCAUUAUCCGAUAGCAAGACGUGGUGGUAGUGUGGUCUUUUUGUCAUUUUCAACUAACUAGCGAUAGCAAUUUAUAAUAUUAUACAUAUUAUCAACCUUAGUUACAUAAUAGUUUUAGUUUGUUAUAUUUAUACAACAUUGUAGUUUUGAGUUCAACACGCUUUAAGGUGCGAACAUGAUUACUGUUCAUCUCCCGUUCCGGCGGCAGUCGAUCUUUCUUUAGAUCAAACUGAAGAACUCCGAAAGGAGGUGAAGCGCUUGAAGAAGCAAGUGGAAGAGCUGUCUGUCCGUCACAGUUUUUGCUUGGGGCGUUUUGCUGCAUCUGACGAUGACAUACGGUUCUUUACUAGGUUUGUGACCUACAGUCAUCUCAUGGCGUUCUGGAGACUCAUUGAGCCUGCAACCAACAGAAUGGUUCGUGUGACAAGGGCAAAAGCAGCUACAAGAAGUGGUAGCAACAGGCAAUGCAUCUGGUCAAUCCCUAAUGUCGGCUGAUGAGGUAAGGAAGACGCAGUCCAUUGCUCGUCUGAGGGUCCACGUUGAGGGUAUCAUCCGCAGGGUGAAGCAACACAAACUGUUUGAUGCUGUCAUCCCUCUUUCAAUCACAGGAAGCAUAAACCAGCUAUACACUGUUGCUUGCCUUCUUGUCAACUACCAGAAUGGGCCCUUGGUAAAAGCAUGGGCAAUGGAUUAAAGACUUUGUAUGGGAUGGAUACAUUUUGAUUGGCAGAGAAUCCUAUGUAAAUUAAAUGUAUUUGCUAUGUAUGUUUUUGUAAUCGAGUAACAGAAGCAUUUCUUUCACAAUGCUAAUGUAAAAACUGUAAUGCAGCAAUGUCAAUAAGUAAUUUUGAUGCCGUUUUAAUGUACACUACUAAUGUAAACAUGAAAAUAACUUUGAUACAGUUUCUGUAAACAUGUAAAUAACUGAUACAGUGUUUCUGUAAACAAGAAAAUAUAAAUAACUUUCAUAAAGCUAAGCUUGUAAAGUGCACCACUAAUGUAAACAUGUAAAUAACUUUGAUGCAGCUGAGCGCCACUAACGUAAACAUGUAAAUAACUGUGAUACAGCUUGUAAGGUAUAGUUCACCCAAAAAUGAAAAUUCUGUCAUCAUUUAUGGAUAAUCUUAAGACCAUCUAAGUGUAUUCAACUGUGUAUUCUGCUUUGAGAGACCAUGAAUAUGAACUGAAAUGUAUGUAGUUACCAAUUGUAGUGAACUUAAACCCAUUUUUGUCUAAAAGUAAGGUUUGAGUUUACUUUAGGUUUUGAGAGAUAGUAUCUUAAAGGUGUGUUUUAAUUUAUAUUGUUGAUGUCUAAAAAAUUGCACAGUUGAGUACACUUACAUGUUCUCAAGUUUAUCAUAGGAGGUACUAAAGAAGAAAUUUCAGUACAUUUCAUUAAAAAAAAAUGGACAAUGACAGAAAUGACAAAAUGUCAAUUAAAAGACCCCGAAUUAUCGAGCAUUUGCAUAAACAAUGACUUAUUUAGCUUUUAAAGUGCUAAACAUUUACUUAAGAUACUUGCAUAAAUGUACUGAAGAAAUUGUUAUAAAUUUAAUAAGACAAUAAACUUAAAAUAUAAACAACA